rnacentral:rRNA from 1 species
UACGUAGGGGGCUAGCGUUGUCCGGAAUCAUUGGGCGUAAAGCGCGCGUAGGCGGCCAGAUAAGUCCGGUGUGAAAGUCACAGGCUCAACCUGUGAAUGCCGCUGGAAACUGUCUGGCUAGAGUCCGGAAGGGGCGAGUGGAAUUCCUGGUGUAGCGGUGAAAUGCGCAGAUAUCAGGAGGAACACCAAUGGCGAAGGCAGCUCGCUGGGCUGAUACUGACGCUGAGGCGCGAAAGCCAGGGGAGCGAACGGG